AGGGCUAUCGCCAAGGGGUAAGGCACAGCACUUUGACUGCUGCAUUCGCGGGUUCGAAUCCCACUAGCCCAG
rnacentral:tRNA from 1 species